GACGUAGGGUCCAAGCGUUGUCCGGAUUUACUGGGCGUAAAGCGCGCGUAGGCGGUCUGUUAAGUGCACAAGUGAAAGCUCCGGGCUCAACUCGGAAAUUGCUUUGCAUACUGGCAGGCUGGAGGGACGCAGAGGUCUGUGGAAUUCCUGGUGUAACGGUGAAAUGUGUUGAUAUCAGGAGGAACACCCAUGGCGAAGGCAGCAGACUGGGCGUUUCCUGACGCUGAGGCGCGAAAGCGUGGGGAGCGAACAGG
rnacentral:rRNA from 1 species